AAGGGGCAGAAAGGACAGCAAGAAUCCCAAGCGGGCACAGAGCCAGACGCAGGGCUCAAACUCAUGAACCAUGAGGCGAUGACCUGUGCAGAAAUCAAGAAUCGGUUGGACCCAGCCACUUCAUUUCCAUUUCUAAGCCGUGGCUGGAAAUCCAGAGCCCAUUGGUGGUGAGAUAUUUAAUUUCCCAGAGUCCAUAGGCGCUCAAAGACAUCAACAUAAUUUACCCGAAACUCCUGCAUGACUUUGUGCUUGCUCUAAACAUUAUGGCUUUAAAAUGCUACAUUAAUGUGGGAGGAGUGCCCUUUUUAUGUCCUCACUUGCAUGAUGAAAGCCUUCCUCGGUGCCUUUGUUACCAACUUGGUACCUACCAGGUGGUGAUUGCAAUUUAGGACAAUGUGAACUUAACAUCGGGACUAAGCCUGUUGCCACCCAUUUGGCAGUGACCAAGCUAGAUUUUAAAGGUCACUGCAUAAUUUAUGGCACGAGCGAGCAGUUAGAACUCUCUGACAACGUAAAAUAAUAGACUGCCUUUUUUUUUUUUUUUUUUUUUUCCACGGUCUAUCAUUUUCUCUGCGCUGCUCCCUCUGAAUCUGGGGAGGUAAGAGACCAGGCUGCCCUGGGUGCCCUUGUCUUGGGUCAGAGAGCAGCAGAGCCCAGGGCCAGGCCAGACGUUGACUCCACAUGUCCCUGUUGGUGACCCGUUCCUAGGAAGGGACGCUCCCUGGAGAAAGACGAGCCCCGUAUAUCAGCCCGCGGGAACCUGGCUGUGCCAUCAGGGACAUGUUUCAGAUCACUGUGGAAGGACUUUAAGAAAAGAGCCAAAUAACCUAUAUUUACAAUUGUUUCUUUCUGACUGAUCUGCAUUACUUGGGUCUCUGAAUCUCAAGUUUUCACGGCUACAUCUAAGGCAGAAGGAAAAGAGGUAUCUUAUACAUGUUAAGAGGAGUAUCAGGUCAAGUGGCUGUUAAAAGCUAUUUACCCAGGUGGUAAAAUAGCAAAAUCACGUGGGCUUUUCUCCCCGCGUCCGUAACGUGUACGUAACGUAACAUACGUAACGUGAGAAUCCCUGUCCCUAAAUCCCCCUGGAGCGGCAGAUUGCUGAGAAGGGGUGCGUGUGACGGUCAUCUCCUGCCAGCUUUACCUGUGAGCUAACAAGAAAGAUGCUAUCCUUGGAGGCGGAGAAAGAAUGAGGCGUUCCCCUGAUCAGAGUCUUCGGAGCAAAAAUCACCAGCCACUUGGGUGAGAGGAUGACUGAACGGCAAACGUACCUCAGAAGUUAGAGACUGUGAAUUGCUCUGGAGAAUGUCAAGUUUUGUCUCCUGUGGAGCCAUUUGCUUACUUUCAGGAACCUUGAGAUCACGACCUGAGCUGAAGUCUGACGCUUAACAGACUGAGCCAGCCAGGCGCCCUCCAAGGCUGCGCCCUUUCAUAAAAUUGAAUGAAGGACCCCGCUCCCUGCAGCUGAAUCCCAACGCUGCUGAUGGAAACAAAGAAUUCUGCGGUGCUGGAUGCAGCUACCACGUGACCCUUCACUUUGACCGUGGCUCCAGCUGCCUGCGUCCCAAACUGACUCUCCCAUUGAUUGCAGCCGCUGCCUUCCCAUAGAAGGAGCCAAUAUUGCUGCAGCACCCCCCACCCCCACCCCCACCCCGGGUAGACCUUCCAGGUACACGGAAUAUAAAAACCCUUAUGUUCCAGACUCCAUUGUCACGGCGCUCCCAGAAGCCCAGGGGCCGGUGGACGGAUCCUUGUAAAGCACCCCUAUGGCCCUGCUCGCAGGGGACAAGGGGCUCCCGGAGACACGCCCACGGAAAUGGGUUCUGGCCGUUGUAGGACUUGGCUGCACAUUCAUACGUCCGUACGCUUCCGGCUUAGAUUAAGUCAUAUCUGAAUGAGUCAUUUCUCCACCUCCCCAUUUCUCACUCUGACGCCUGCACCCUAGACGCGACAGUGCGUCCUUAACCGGAUUUCUCUCUGUACCCAGCCUGUCACUCCCAGCCCUCUCAGCGGACACCAGCUGGCCUUUCCAAAUGCACAUUUAAGAUGUCACUCUUCAGCUUAAGUAUCUUCUUUUUUUUUUAAGUUUAUUUGAGACAGAGCUAGCAUGAAUGGGGGAGGGGCAGAGAGAG